rnacentral:rRNA from 1 species
GGGCGACCGGCCACACUGGGACUGAGACACGGCCCAGACUCCUACGGGAGGCAGCAGUGGGGAAUCUUGCACAAUGGGCGGAAGCCUGAUGCAGCGACGCCGCGUGAGGGAUGACGGCCUUCGGGUUGUAAACCUCUUUCAGCAGGGACGAAGCGUUUGUGACGGUACCUGCAGAAGAAGCGCCGGCCAACUACGUGCCAGCAGCCGCGGUAAGACGUAGGGCGCAAGCGUUGUCCGGAUUUAUUGGGCGUAAAGAGCUCGUAGGCGGCUUGUCGCGUCGACUGUGAAAACCCGUGGCUCAACUGCGGGCUUGCAGUCGAUACGGGCAGGCUAGAGUUCGGUAGGGGAGACUGGAAUUCCUGGUGUAGCGGUGAAAUGCGCAGAUAUCAGGAGGAACACCGGUGGCGAAGGCGGGUCUCUGGGCCGAUACUGACGCUGAGGAGCGAAAGCGUGGGGAGCGAACAGGAUUAGAUACCCUGGUAGUCCACGCUGUAAACGUUGGGCGCUAGGUGUGGGGGGCCUCUCCGGUUCUCUGUGCCGCAGCUAACGCAUUAAGCGCCCCGCCUGGGGGAGUACGGG